rnacentral:rRNA from 1 species
UACGUAGGGCGCAAGCGUUGUCCGGAAUUAUUGGGCGUAAAGAGCGCGUAGGCGGCCCAGUAAGUCCGCUCUGAAAGUCAGAGGCUCAACCUCUGAAUGCGGGUGGAUACUGCUGGGCUAGAGUCCGGAAGAGGCGAGUGGAAUUCCUGGUGUAGCGGUGAAAUGCGCAGAUAUCAGGAAGAACACCCGUGGCGAAGGCGGCUCUCUGGGACGGUACUGACGCUGAGACGCGAAAGCGUGGGGAGCGAACAGG